GUCGACGAGAGAUUGCUAGCUUGCUAAUAAUUCUCUAGUGGCGCACGGGUGAGUAACACGUGAGUAACCUGCCCCCGAGAGCGGGAUAGCCCUGGGAAACUGGGAUUAAUACCGCAUAGUAUCGAAAGAUUAAAGCAGCAAUGCGCUUGGGGAUGGGCUCGCGGCCUAUUAGUUAGUUGGUGAGGUAACGGCUCACCAAGGCGAUGACGGGUAGCCGGUCUGAGAGGAUGUCCGGCCACACUGGAACUGAGACACGGUCCAGACACCUACGGGUGGCAGCAGUCGAGAAUCAUUCACAAUGGGGGAAACCCUGAUGGUGCGACGCCGCGUGGGGGAAUGAAGGUCUUCGGAUUGUAAACCCCUGUCAUGUGGGAGCAAAUUAAAAAGAUAGUACCACAAGAGGAAGAGACGGCUAACUCUGUGCCAGCAGCCGCGGUAAUACAGAGGUCUCAAGCGUUGUUCGGAAUCACUGGGCGUAAAGCGUGCGUAGGCUGUUUCGUAAGUCGUGUGUGAAAGGCGCGGGCUCAACCCGCGGACGGCACAUGAUACUGCGAGACUAGAGUAAUGGAGGGGGAACCGGAAUUCUCGGUGUAGCAGUGAAAUGCGUAGAUAUCGAGAGGAACACUCGUGGCGAAGGCG
rnacentral:rRNA from 1 species